rnacentral:lncRNA from 1 species
AUGGGGGCGGUUAGCAUUGGCACCUCAUCUCCAGAAUGCUCUGGUCCUGGCAAUCACAGGAGAUGCAAACCGAAGGCUUCUCCAUUACAGGAGCUGCCAGGAAAAAUGGGCAGGGCUGCUUUCCAGUAUAGCGAUUCCCAGUUGGGGGUCCUACAUAGGGUGGCUGUCGAUAGUGAGUGGUUGACAUUACAGGACUCCGGGGAAGGCUUAGGAAAGAGAGCACUCUACUACUUGGAUCUGCAUCUGUUUCUCUUCAAGAAAUUCUACCUGCAAUGGAAAUUUCCUGCUUACUUAAAAGAGGCCUGGGGUGCACAUGCUGAACAGUGCAAAGCUCAGGGCAGGCGCAAGACCCAAGCAGGGCUCAUCCUUAGGUGACCUCUCAGGACUGGGCUGUCCUGGUGGUGCAGCUGCUCAGCUCUUCUUUUCGAUGAAGUUUCUCUCUUCUUGGCACAGGGAGAAGCAGUUAAAGAGAAAGUCCUUGAAAUGGAACGCUGUCCUCUCUUCUCAAAACCAUGAAACUGCCUCAAACUCACCGUCCCCCAGGCCAUAUUCUGCCCCAGGGCUCAGAGCUCACAAGAGAUUGACACAAAAAGCAACCAGGCAAGUGAAGAGUCCAUCACCAAGUCCCAAGCACCCGUCACCCCUCAGGCCGGAUGCCCCGCUGUGUAGAUACUAGAUACAACCACAAUGAAUCAUGCAUGAUACAGAAUUUCAAAAGGGGAUCUACUCUAAGAAUUUAUAAGACAGGUUCUCAUUUUAGGCAAUAGGGGUAAGGCUUCACCUUGGAGUUGAUUCUAGUCUUAGAGCAAGAAGCAGGAGAAAUCCAGCAAGUGGGACAUGAUUUGAUUCCAUGAGGCAGAAUAUGCUAUUUUUGCCUUAAGAGCUACUUGUUAGAAGAAUUUCCUAGUGAUGCUAACUUUUAACCUGUCUUACAUCUACUAAAUAGUUAAUAUUACCAGGAUACGAAGACAUUUCCUUACAAAAUUACUCUAACUGAAUUUCCCCAAAGAUUUGCUUUUAGAUGAUGGGUGGCCAUAUUUUUCCUUGUACUAUCAGUAGCAUUAACUGUAUUUGAAAGAAAAUUAUUGGCAUUAUAUAUAAGCAUAAUAAUAAGGUACAGGGAAAAUUCUAGCUAUGUGUACUGGAAUUCUUUUCCCAGCUUGCGUAAAACAUUUGGAAAAAAGAAAGUAUUUAUUUUGUAAAUAAACCAAG